GAUGAACGCUGGCGGCGUGCCUAAUACAUGCAAGUCGAGCGAACAGACGAGGAGCUUGCUCCUCUGACGUUAGCGGCGGACGGGUGAGUAACACGUGGAUAACCUACCUAUAAGACUGGGAUGACUUCGGGAAACCGGAGCUAAUACCGGAUAAUAUAUUGAACCGCAUGGUUCAAUAGUGAAAGACGGUUUUGCUGUCACUUAUAGAUGGAUCCGCGCCGCAUUAGCUAGUUGGUAAGGUAACAGCUUACCAAGGCAACGAUGCGUAGCCGACCUGAGAGGGUGAUCGGCCACACUGGAACUGAGACACGGUCCAGACUCCUACGGGAGGCAGCAGUAGGGAAUCUUCCGCAAUGGGCGAAAGCCUGACGGAGCAACGCCGCGUGAGUGAUGAAGGUCUUCGGAUCGUAAAACUCUGUUAUUAGGGAAGAACAAAUGUGUAAGUAACUAUGCACGUCUUGACGGUACCUAAUCAGAAAGCCACGGCUAACUACGUG
rnacentral:rRNA from 1 species